GAUGAACGCUGGCGGCGUGCCUAAUACAUGCAAGUAGAACGCUGAAGGAGGAGCUUGCUCUUCUGGAUGAGUUGCGAACGGGUGAGUAACGCGUAGGUAACCUGCCUGGUAGCGGGGGAUAACUAUUGGAAACGAUAGCUAAUACCGCAUGACAACAGUUAUUGCAUGAUAACUGUUUAAAAGGGGCAACUGCUCCACUACCAGAUGGCCCUGCGUUGUAUUAGCUAGUUGGUGAGGUAACGGCUCACCAAGGCGACGAUACAUAGCCGACCUGAGAGGGGGAUCGGCCACACUGGGACUGAGACACGGCCCAGACUCCUACGGGAGGCAGCAGUAGGGAAUCUUCGGCAAUGGACGGAAGUCUGACCGAGCAACGCCGCGUGAGUGAAGAAGGUUUUCGGAUCGUAAAGCUCGGUUGUAAGAGAAGAACGAGUGUGAGAGUGGAAAGUUCACACUGUGACGGUAUCUUACCAGAAAGGGACGGCUAACUACGUG
rnacentral:rRNA from 1 species